UACGUAGGGGGCAAGCGUUGUCCGGAUUUAUUGGGCGUAAAGAGCGUGUAGGCGGCCAGACAGGUCAGCUGUGAAAACUCGAGGCUCAACCUCGAGACGUCGGUUGAAACCGUCUGGCUAGAGUCCGGAAGAGGAGAGUGGAAUUCCCGGUGUAGCGGUGAAAUGCGCAGAUAUCGGGAAGAACACCCGUGGCGAAGGCGGCUCUCUGGGCUGAGAUUGACGCUCAGGCACGAAAGCGUGGGGAGCAAACAGG
rnacentral:rRNA from 1 species